rnacentral:rRNA from 1 species
GACGAACGCUGGCGGCGUGCUUAACACAUGCAAGUCGAACGGUAAGGCCCUUCGGGGUACACGAGUGGCGAACGGGUGAGUAACACGUGGGUGAUCUGCCCUGCACUUCGGGAUAAGCCUGGGAAACUGGGUCUAAUACCGGAUAGGACUCCUGGCUUCAUGGUUGGGGGUGGAAAGCUUUUGCGGUGUGGGAUGGGCCCGCGGCCUAUCAGCUUGUUGGUGGGGUAAUGGCCUACCAAGGCGACGACGGGUAGCCGGCCUGAGAGGGUGACCGGUCAUACUGGGACUGAGAUACGGCCCAGACUCCUACGGGAGGCAGCAGUGGGGAAUAUUGCACAAUGGGCGCAAGCCUGAUGCAGCGACGCCGCGUGAGGGAUGACGGCCUUCGGGUUGUAAACCUCUUUAAGCUAUGACGAAGCGCAAGUGACGGUAGUAGCAGAAGAAGGACCGGCCAACUACGUGCCAGCCGCCGCGGUAA